rnacentral:rRNA from 1 species
CAGUAGGGAGGAAGGUAGUGUAGUUAACACCUGCAUUAUUUGACGUUACCUACAGAAGAAGCACCGGCUAACUCCGUGCCAGCAGCCGCGGUAAUACGGAGGGUGCGAGCGUUAAUCGGAAUUACUGGGCGUAAAGCGCAUGCAGGCGGCUUGUUAAGUCAGAUGUGAAAGACCCGGGCGUUAACCUACGGAAUUGCAUUUGUAAACUAGGCAGGCUAGAGUCUUGUAGAGGGGGGUAGGAAUUUCAGGUGUAGCGGUGAAAUGCGUAGAGAUCUGAAGGAAUACCAGUGGCGAAGGCGGCCCCCUGGACAAAGACUGACGCUCAGAUGCGAAAGCGUGGGGAGCAAACAGGAUUAGAUACCCUGGUAG